rnacentral:rRNA from 1 species
UACGUAGGGGGCGAGCGUUGUCCGGAAUUACUGGGCGUAAAGAGCUCGUAGGUGGUUUGUGGCGUUGUUCGUGAAAACUCACAGCUUAACUGUGGGCGUGCGGGCGAUACGGGCAGACUGGAGUACUGCAGGGGAGACUGGAAUUCCUGGUGUAGCGGUGGAAUGCGCAGAUAUCAGGAGGAACACCGGUGGCGAAGGCGGGUCUCUGGGCAGUAACUGACGCUGAGGAGCGAAAGCGUGGGGAGCGAACAGG